GAUGAACGCUAGCGGCAGGCUUAAUACAUGCAAGUCGAGGGGCGAGCGGGGAUAGCAAUAUCUGCCGGCGACCGGCAAACGGGUGCGGAACACGUACGCAACCUUCCCAAAACAGGUGAAUAGCCCUGCGAAAGUAGGAUUAAUACACCGUAAGAUACUAGCUUGGGCAUCUAGGUUAUAUUAUAGGUCGCAAGAUCGGUUUUGGAUGGGCGUGCGCCUGAUUAGGUAGUUGGUGAGGGUAACGGCCCACCAAGCCUUCGAUCAGUAACUGGUGUGAGAGCACGACCAGUCACACGGGCACUGAGACACGGGCCCGACUCCUUACGGGAGGCAGCAGUAAGGAUAAUUGGUCAAUGGACGAAAGUCUGAACCAGCCAUGCCGCGUGCAGGAUG
rnacentral:rRNA from 1 species